GACGAACGCUGGCGGCGUGCUUAACACAUGCAAGUCGAACGGAAAGGCUCCAGCUUGCUGGAGUACUCGAGUGGCGAACGGGUGAGUAACACGUGGGUAAUCUGCCCUGCACUCUGGGAUAAGCCUGGGAAACUGGGUCUAAUACUGGAUAUGACCUUUCUCCUUAUGGGGUUUGGUGGAAAGUUUUUCGGUGUAGGAUGAGCCCGCGGCCUAUCAGCUUGUUGGUGGGGUGAUGGCCUACCAAGGCGACGACGGGUAGCCGGCCUGAGAGGGUGAUCGGCCACAUUGGGACUGAGAUACGGCCCAGACUCCUACGGGAGGCAGCAGUGGGGAAUAUUGCACAAUGGGCGGAAGCCUGAUGCAGCGACGCCGCGUGAGGGAUGACGGCCUUCGGGUUAUAAACCUCUUUCAGCAGGGACGAAGCGUAAGUGACGGUACCUGCAGAAGAAGCACCGGCUAACUAUGUG
rnacentral:rRNA from 1 species